rnacentral:tRNA from 1 species
GGCCGGUUAGCUCAGUCAGUUGAGCGUGGCGCUAACAACACCAAGGUCGCGGGUUCGAUUCCCAUUUGGUCCC